rnacentral:rRNA from 1 species
GACGAACGCUGGCGGCGUGCUUAACACAUGCAAGUCGAACGGAAAGGCCCUGCUUUUGUGGGGUGCUCGAUUGGCGAAAGGGUGAGUAACACGUGAGUAACCUGCCCUUGACUUUGUGAUAACUUUAGGAAACUGGGGCUAAUACCGGAUAUGAGCUCCUGCUGCAUGGUGUGGGUUGGAAAGUUUCGGCGGUGGGGGAUGGACUCGCGGCUUACCAGCUUGUUGGUGGGGUAGUGGCUUACCAAGGGUUUGACGGGUAGCCGGCCUGAGAGGGUGACCGGCCACCAUGGGACUGCGAUAGGGACCAGACGCCAACGGGAGGCAGCAGUGGGGAGUCUUGCACAAUGGGGGGAAGCGUGAUGCGGAGACUCCGCGUGCGGGAUAACGGCCUUCGAGUUAUAAACAGAUUUCGCAUGUGACGAAGAGUGAGUGACGGUACUGGGUCAAGAAGCCACGGCUAACUACGUG